UCAAUCAAAGAAACAAAAAAGGCCAUGAAUGAAGAAGGUGGACAUUUCAUCCUCUUUCUAGUUACUCUGGGAGCUGAUCUGAUAAAUGCACUUCAAAGGAAGGAAAUGCUAGGUCUUUCCCAUGUUAGUAUGGUCGAGCAUAAAAUAUUUGAAAAUGAAGUCAAAAUAAGAAAGGUAGAAAGAAAACUAAAAGUACCUUUGAUCCGUUGAGCGAGAGCCCUUCCACACGAAACUCCCGAAUCACUAUGGCUGAUUUUCGUCUCUGUUCGACAAGUCGGUUGCACAGUCAGGCAGCUAAAGGGGUGUGAGAGGAAAUCGAACCACGAAGGCAAGUAUCCUCGCAGGCCCCUGCGAUGACCAGUAGGUAGAUGAAUUUGAUAUGUAUCAAAGAUAUUACCACGGCGAUGAAAAAGAAAAGAUUGCGAAUCUCCCUCAGUGGUCCUUUCAAACGAACCUAAUAAAUUCGAAAUAAAAACAGGAAACCCACCAGUGCGAAGAAUGAAAUGCAUGUAGUGGAAUUGAAAAGCAGAUAAGUUUUCUAGUUGGCGCAGUUAGAAGUUGCUUGGAAGGAUCUGUGCUGGUUGGUAGACUUGCUAGAGUGGUUGCUUUUGGUUGACAUAGAUCUAUAGGUAUGUGCUCGCAGUCGUCUAGGUGCCUGGCCAGCACACCGCUGCUUUAGUGAGGCUGGAAACUCUUUCCUUUCCUCUUCCUUAGAUUCUAUUCAGGAGUCCAAGCGUAAAGUAGAUUUGUUUAUUGACCUUAAAGCAAAGUAAGGUCACCGGAGGCUUGUAGACAUGUAUCGGAAAUACCAAUGAAUUCCUUUUUGUCGAGUUCUUUCGAGUCAAAAGUUUUUCUAAUUUGUUCAGUUGGACUGUGGAAGUGUACUCGGUAAUGACCGGGGGGGAGCAAAUGGGAGAACUUUCCAAACAUGAAACAAAGAGAUGCGAGAUUCAAUAAUAAUAGAAUGCAAACGUUUCUUUCCAUCCCACAUGGAUAAAAGGAGAUAAACGGGAAUUAAUUCUAAGUCCCACAUGAAGAAAAAAGUAAAAUAUUCCGAGGAGAAAUAUAUUAUUUUGUGAUUAGGUAUUUUUCAUAAAUUUUAAUUACUCAAAAUUUAAUAAACAAUUAUUUAUAAGAUUUACAAUUUAUCGUCAUAUCUCAUUAGAUUUAUAUUAAAAAAUGUAAAACAUGUAUCAUUUGAAAUAAAAAAAAUCUAAAGCAUAAAUUAUUUUGACACAGAAGGAAUAUGUUUUAGUGGCCAAGUCAUGUGGAUAUAUUAGGGCUGAGUCCUCUAAAAUAUAACACCAAUGUUCUCAGGCGUCAAUUUGUUUAUUUAUUUUAUAUCAUUCACAAGAUUUUGCUGCCUUUGUGCAUGGACGAACCCAGUAACGAUAUCCACCACCCACUAUAACUUCCCCCUGUUGAUAUGUGACGAUAAGCGCAAGUAGACGUGCGACCUAAAACCUUAAACAGAAGAAGACAAGUAACAAAUAAAUACUAUGAAGAUAGCAAAUAUAAAAUAUAACUGUGGAGGGAACUCCUCUCUCUCCCUCGAAACCCUCGUGACCUGAAGAAACCCUAACGCGGCGGCUCCUCCCCCGGCGUCCGCUACUCUAGCGGCGUCGGAGGCUACUCCUUCAACUCUCCCUCUCCUUUUCCUUUUGCCUUUCUGGUACCAUUCCAUCUCUCGGCGACAUACUUGCUGUCUCUGGUGAGUUUAACGGUGGCUAGUGGUUGUUCUGACCGCGGCGGAGCAAGAUCUGGACAUAUCGACGGCGGAUCUGGAGCGGCAGUGAGUCGAGAGAAGAAGAGGUGGUCACUGGUUGGGUCGGCUUUUAGGGUUCUACUGUCGAGUUUCAGUUCGAGCCGUUUUACUUUGGUCUCGUCGGCUCCCAGUGAAGAGGCGGUGGCGUGUGACUGUUUGCUUGACACUUUGGCUGCGGAUUUGGAGGCUGGUCUCACCUUGCCGGCCAUUGUUUCAGAUCUGCAACGAAGGGGUGGAUGUGGUGACGAUAGGAGCUAUCUCGGCGUGUGAGAUGCUCUAUGUCUUCUACCGCUCAAGAGAACUCCAGAGUCUCUCUCUGGAGGCACACCGAGGUUCGUACGGAGGACGUGUGUUCACCGAACUUUCUCUCGCGAAGUGUGUACUGUUUCUUUCUGGAGACCGUAAAGAAUCGUCUAUGGUUUGGUCGGAGAAAGGAAGGGAAGUGCUUCUUCUCUGUUCAAGCAGUGUUGCGACAUUGGCGUGAAGUCGUCUGAUUAGGAGAAGUCGUUUCUUCGGUUCUCGAAGACGAGUCAUGACGGUCCUUCUGCUUUCUCGAGUGGUCUGCGGGAGAGCUCGAAGGCCAUUGGUGAUCAUGAUUAGAGGCAUGGUAUGCGCAGUACCGAUUAUUGUCUUACCCGGUAGCUGUGCCUCUUCUUCUGCUGUUCAGGUUCAAAGCUGUCCGUUAAUGGAGCCAGGACCUCGACCCGUUUUUCCCCAGCUACGAAACCGCUGUCCCGAAGCCUUCAGAUACAUGGAGAGGAGUAAGCGCUGGUUUGGCGUUGAAGUAACUGGUCGGCCAAAUUCUUUCGAUCUCUAAUCCAGUUGCUAAGAGCUCUAAUUGAAUACCUCUCUCAAUCGUGAGAAGAAGCACCUUCCCGGUGAUGAAGCAAUGGCUGAGCUUAAAUGUCCAAUCAAUAGCUCCAUUUGCUAUGUGCGUUUUUUAGAAUUCUCAUUAUUGGUUUCUGCAGGCUAAGGAUAUGUUUUGUAUUCUGGUUUUUAGUGGUAGAAUUUAGUGGUUUAAGAGACGGUUCAUUUCGAGUAGUGGAAUGAACUUGUUCUCGGAGUGGUGAAAAAUGCAAUAUCGGAUUGAUUCGGGUAGCUUAGGAUCCUUCUAAGUGUUCCUAGGUGAUACUAGAUCCCGAUAUUGUAUGUGGGGUGAAAUCUUGUGAGGUUGUAAUCUCGUUACCACGAAUUGGUUAAUGCAAAGUUGAAGUUGAGCCAAAAAAAAAAAAAUAUAUAUAACUGUGGAGGGAGAGAGGGAGAUGUUUUGUUUGUUUUGGGGAAAGAAUAGACAGUGGGAAGUGCGACAUGCGAGCCAUUUACGCAUUUUACUAAGGAAGAAUAAAGCCAAAACGGGCAUAUACUUAUUGAUUAUACUUUCUCCAGAAAUAAAGAUAAAGGCAUAUAUCGUGUGGUGAUAUCAGAUUUUAUAAAUAAUCAUACUUAACCAGUUGUUGAAGUUUAAAUACGUUAGAUAUCAGUCAGGGGUUUCCUUAACUAAUGUAUAUAAAAUAGUUUCAUAAACACCUAGGUGGCUUGAAGACUUUACUAGCUUGAAUGACUUUUUUUUUUUUUACCAGCUUGAGUGAUUAACAGAGAAAAAUUACAUAUGUCAGAAAACCUAAGAAACAUUUAAAACCAAACAGCUGGGAUAACCUAAAUAUCAACGCUUACUAAACCCAUCUUGCCGCGAGGGUUUUAACUCCAAGAUGCAACAUAAAAUGAUGGUGGAACACCGAGUAGGCUCAAAGAAACUAGCAAAGUUACUGAUGUAACAUCCACGAAUUGACUUGAUUUUGCGGAACAUGUAAACAAUUUGAGCAAAAAGUAAAGUAUGCUGGCUAACUAUGGUUCAAAGUGAGAAGCAACCAAACUAGUUCGUUGAUUUUAUUUUGCCAGUCCAAUGCAACAUCUAUGUUAGCAUGUUACCAGUUAAAGCUGUAGUCUAAGGGAUUUCAUUUCUUUAUAGAUAGUUGAUAUCAAACUUACUCUGACAAUAAUGGUGUUAAACUUUCGCAUGAUUUCAAAUGAAAAAAAUUAGGGAAAAUUAUUAAUGUCCGGAAUUCAUCAGAACGUUACUCCUACUAUAUAUAGUAUAUAUUAGCAAUGUAUAUUAGCAACCUGUAAGCUUCACAAAACAAUACAUCAAACAUACUAAAAACAAAACUGAAAUAACCCUUGUUUCAAAAAAAAAAAACAAAACCUACGUACAUGGCUACUAGCUACAUACAAAAGUAUAAUUUGUCAAAGUUUAUGAGCCUCGAUAAAAACCUAGUAAAUAAAUUAUCUCAAGCUAUGGUUUAUAUACUACAAUAUUAAAUCUCAUUUAUCAAAUUAUCAUACUUAAUUCAUAAAAUAUAAAGCUUGAAUUCCGCCGAUGAUUUCUCAAUACACAAUAAUUUUUUUAUUCUUCUUAAUAAUUCCCAAGAGUAUAAAAAUGUAAAAAUCUCGUUUGUUGAGAUCACAUAUUGUAUAUAAAAGAAAAUAAGGAAGGUUCCAACUUCCAAGUUCCUACUCGUUUGAAUAAUUCAUGCUAACUACUAAAUAAAAUGCACGUGACGUGAGUCAUUAUAGUAUACAAAAGUUGGCAUCGCAUUAAUAUGAUUGUCGUAUAUCAAACGACACUGACUCGUUUGCAUAUCGUCACAGAAUCUUGCGAGGAGCCAAUAUCAAUCUCUCUACUUGACAAAUAAAUAAUAGUCCCGACAGUAUUUGUUCACACGACGAACGCAUUAUUAAAGAGAAGAACCUCAUAACUCAUUGAUGUAAUAAUAAUUGCGUAAUUCUAAUGAUUUCUUCGAAUUUCAAGUUGGAAAAUAUCAGUUUUGAUUUUAUUUUAUUAAUAAUAAAAAAACUAGAAUAUUUUGAUGGAUUUCUUUUUAGAAAAUUGUUUUUGAUGGCUCUGAGAUCAGCAAAGCUCUUCCUUUUCAGUCCUUUACACGGGUUUGCAGACAAGGGAAGACCAGUGUGGCAGAGGAAGAGCUCGAUGGCAGAGCUAGACAACGAGGAGCUCCGGCGACUCAAAGAUGUUAACAUGGACGAAGCUCCGGCUCGCCGUCAUGUUCGUGAUUGCUUUAGAGAUAUUCAGCAUAAUCUCGAUCAUAUCCUCAUCAAGACACCAGGAGAUGGAAUUAAGACAAAGGAGUCUUAUGAGGUGAAUUCGAGAGGAUUUGAGAUCUUCUCAAAAAGCUGGCUUCCUGAAUCUUCUAGGCCCAGAGCUCUUGUUUGUUUCUGUCAUGGUUAUGGAGAUACUUGCACGUUUUUCUUCGAAGGGAUCGCAAGGAGAUUGGCAUUGUCGGGAUAUGGAGUUUUCGCUAUGGAUUAUCCAGGGUUUGGUUUAUCGGAAGGCUUGCACGGCUAUAUUUCUAGCUUUGAUCUUCUUGUUGAAGAUGUCAUUGAGCAUUACUCCAACAUCAAAGAGAAACCUGAGUUUAGUUCUCUACCUAGCUUUCUGUUUGGGCAGUCAAUGGGUGGAGCAGUGUCGCUCAAGAUACAUUUCAAACAACCAAAUGCUUGGACCGGUGCAGUCUUGGUAGCACCCAUGUGCAAAAUUGCAGAGGAUAUGGUUCCACCACCUGUAUUGAAACAUAUUUUGAUCGGUUUAUCUAGUGUUCUACCGAAACACAAGCUGGUUCCCCAAAAGGAUUUAACUGAUGCAGCUUUUAGAGAUGUCACUAAGAGAAAAUUGGUAUAAAUAAAUAAAUAAAUAAAUAAUAACCGCUUUUUUUUUGUUAGAUCGAUAUUUUUAUCAAACAGGUCUUCUUGUUAGAGAUGUCAAAAGAAGGCUUGGCCCGCGGGAUAGGCCCGUUUAAACCUGUGGCGGGACGGGCUUGGGCCGAAGAUCCGACAUCCCGCAAUGUCGCGGGCCUCGCGGGAAUAGACUUGCGCGGGAUGGGCUCUGUGCGGGAUGGGCCGAAGAAGACCGCGGUUAACCCUAAUGUCCCGCAGCUUCUUCUCUCUUCAUUUGAUCGGCCACCUGAAGAAAAAAAAAGAGAGAGCGAGAGUGAAAGUGGAGUCGCCACCGCACGAGAUGGAGCUCCGGCCAUGGUUUCUUCUUCGAUGAUGCUUCCUGUCUACCCUUCGCCUUCUAUCUCCUCCAGUGAAGCUUCGUGGAAACAUAACAAGAAGUUUGCGAAGGAACUCUCCAUUGAAGAAGAAGAUCAUCAGCUCCGGUCAUGGUUUCUUCAUCGACGGUGCUCCUGCGCUCUCCUGCGGUACAUGCAUGUACAUCUUGUUCUAUUUCUCUCAAGUUUCCACCUUUUGUUUGAUCCAUGAUUGGCUUCGGAGAAAUGAGGAAAGCGCAGAUGAGAUUGUCAGAUACAUGGUGCGACCGAUGAAGGAGAAGUUUGACAAAUAUUGGGAUGAAGUAUUUGCGUGACAAGCUCAGUAUUCUGUUUGAGACAUACGACAAAAACUCCAAGAAUAACUCACCUUCCACUGAGCCACGUGACACUGUUCCGCAAAAAGCUUGUGCGGCAGGAUCAAUGGGACUGUUUGGAAACUACAAUGUGAGUGUUUUCAAUUUUUUUCCUUCUGUUUAUUUUUUUUUUCACACAAGCAUUUUUUUCACGAGUAGAAGUGUGUUUAUCUUUCACAAGCAUUUUUUUUUUCUGUUCAAUUUUUUUUCCUUCUGUCGUCAGCCUCCAAUUUUGUUUUCCUCUCUGAUAUUUUUUUUUUAAUUUUCUUAGGAUUUCUUUGCAUUUCGCAAAGUCAGUGGAAUUGUUAGUGGAAAGACACCUCUAGAAGCUUAUCUUGAAGAACCACCUUUGGACAUUACUAAUUUCCAGAGCUUGGACAUCCUCGAUUGGUGGAAAGAUAAUGCGCAUCGGUAUGGUGACUUGGCUGCAAUGGCAUGUGAUCUGCUAAGUAUUCUAAUCACAACAGUGGCUUUGGAGUCCUCCUUCAGUAUUGGAUCGCGAGUUCUAAACAAAUAUAGGAGUCGUCUACUCCUAGAAAAUGUGCAAGCUCUGAUAUGCACUAGGAAUUGGAUCAAAGGAUAUGAAUCUUACGUACAUGAUGAAGAAAUAGAUGGUGAUGGAGAAGAAGAGAAAUUACCAACAUUUGAGUCCAUUGUUGAUGGGGAAGAUGAAGAUGAGUAGAUGAGCAAGUUUGAAAUGUUAUCUUGAUUUGGUGUUUUGAUUCAAUUACAAUUUCAGAUUUCUUGUUUAAGUUGCAUGAUUUUUGGUUUUGAAUACUAUGAUUUGGACCAUUUGGUGUUUCUCUAAAUUUUACUUUAGUUGAGACUUAAUUUUUUA